GACAGAGGGUGCAACCGUUGCUCGGAAUUACUGGGCGUAAAGCGCGUGUAGGCGGGCCCCCAAGUCGGACGUGAAAGCCCCGAGCUCAACUCGGGAACUGCAUCCGAAACUGAGGGCCUUGAGUGAUGGAGAGGGAAGCAGAAUUCCUGGUGUAGAGGUGAAAUUCGUAGAUAUCAGGAGGAACACCGGUGGCGAAGGCGGCUUCCUGGACAUUGACUGACGCUGAGACGCGAAAGCGUGGGGAGCAAACAGG
rnacentral:rRNA from 1 species